rnacentral:lncRNA from 1 species
ACAGAAGCUAAGUCGCCCCGGGUACCCGCGUCUCCAAUAAAGCCUCUUGUUUUUACAUCCAGUUCGUGGCCUCGCUGAUUCCUGGGUGUGGGUCUCCCUCUACGAAAGUACCUCUUCGGGGGUCUUUCAUUUGGGGGCUCGUCCGGGAUAGAGACCCCCACUCAGGGACCACCGACCCACGUUUGGGAGGUAAGUGUUGUGCGGAUCCGCUGUUUUGUCUUGUCUGGUCUGAGUCCGUCUUGUGAAUUGCACUUGCGUUUGUAGUAUACAGCUGUGUACAUUUGUAUUUGGCGGCUCCGAGAGGAACUGACGAGUUCGGACUCCCGACCGCGGCUCCAGGAGACGUCCUGGUAGCGUUUGUAGCCCUCGGCGUGAGGGAUUUGUAGGGAUUUGUACUUUGGAGCCCUCGGCGUGAGGGAUUUGUACUUUGAACCUAGAUCUAUGACUGGACAUCUUCCCAGUCUCUUUGGAGAAAGCCCUCGGCUUGAGGGAUUUGCAAUCUUUACUGGGGACGAAGAAGGAGGGCCCCCUUCUUCGACCGACCCCCUCUCAAUUCUUCCUUUCGACUCUCUGUCGAAACCGCGCUGCGAAAACCUGUUCUGUGUUCUGUGUUGUUUGGCCUUUGUUUUGUAAUUGAUGUGCAUAAACGCAAAUGAAUUACUCUUUGUUCCUCAGCUCGAGCGUAUAAACUUAUCUGGCCUGAUCCGGACAUCUAAACGGCCUUAAAGUUAUUAAGAACUGUAAAAAGGACUUUGAUAAAAUUUUGAUGUUAACUGAGAAAUGAAAAAAAAAUGUAGGAGACUUAAAUAAUAAAGAGGGAAAGGAAAAAAGAAACUUGUCUAAGAAUGUCUAAGAGAGUCAGAGAAAUGAACUAAAAGGUUAUAGAGAGUUAAAGCAAGCGGUAAAAGUUACAGAGGGUUAAAGCAAGUUAUUGGAGGUCACAGAAAGUUACAGAGGGUUAAAGCAAGUUGUAGAAGGUCAGAGGAAAGUUGUCAAAGGUCAGAGAAAAGGUUGUUACAAGUCACAGAAAAACCCUGCCUAAGAAGUUAAGCUACUGUUUAAGGAAUCCUGGCACUUAGAUGUGCCUGCCCUGGCCUUGCAUCACCUGUACCUCUCUAGAGCAGGUGCUAAUUAUUUACAGAAAUAAGACCUUACCUAGCCACCUGUAGAUACUUAAUGUAUGCUUAAGGCAAGUAAUUAAAACAGACAAACAGACCUCUAAUGCUUCAGAGAUCUUCAGAAUAUGGC